UACGAAGGUGGCGAACGAUGCUCGGAUUCACUGGGCGUAAAGGGAUUGUAGGCGGCUUUUUAAGUCAGAUGUGAAAGCCCGGGGCUUAACCCCGGAAUUGCAUUUGAAACUGGAAAGCUAGAGUAAAGCAGAGGAGAAUGGAAUUCCCAGUGUAGAGGUGAAAUUCGUAGAUAUUGGGAGGAACACCAGAAGCGAAGGCGAUUCUCUGGGCUUUUACUGACGCUGAGGAUCGGAAGCGUGGGUAGCAAACAGG
rnacentral:rRNA from 1 species